rnacentral:rRNA from 1 species
GACGAACGCUGGCGGCGUGCUUAACACAUGCAAGUCGAACGGAAAGGCUCCAGCUUGCUGGAGUGCUCGAGUGGCGAACGGGUGAGUAACACGUGGGCAAUCUGCCCUGCACUCUGGGAUAAGCCUGGGAAACUGGGUCUAAUACCGGAUAGGACCUUUCUCCUCAUGGGGUUUGGUGGAAAGUUUUUCGGUGCAGGAUGAGCCCGCGGCCUAUCAGCUUGUUGGUGGGGUAAUGGCCUACCAAGGCGACGACGGGUAGCCGGCCUGAGAGGGUGAUCGGCCACAUUGGGACUGAGAUACGGCCCAGACUCCUACGGGAGGCAGCAGUGGGGAAUAUUGCACAAUGGGCGAGAGCCUGAUGCAGCGGCGCCGCGUGAGGGAUGACGGCCUUCGGGUUGUAAACCUCUUUCAGUAGGGACGAAGCGCAAGUGGCGGUACCUGCAAAAGAAGCACCGGCUAACUGCG